rfam:Ixodes scapularis strain Wikel colony gcontig_1108378670372, whole genome shotgun sequence.
UCCUUGUUAGCUCAGUUAAUAGUGCGCUCCACUGGAAAUGGAGAGGUCCCUGGUUCGAUACCAGAACCAGGCG